UACGAGGGGGGCGAGCGUUGUUCGGAAUUAUUGGGCGUAAAGGGUGCGUAGGCGGUUUGGUAAGUCUUGUGUGAAAUCUACAGGCUCAACUUGUAGUCUGCACGAGAAACUGCCGGGCUUGAGUAUGGGAGAGGUGAGUGGAAUUCCUGGUGUAGCGGUGAAAUGCGUAGAUAUCAGGAGGAACACCUGUGGCGAAAGCGGCUCACUGGACCAUAACUGACGCUGGAUGCACGAAAGCUAGGGGAGCAAACAGG
rnacentral:rRNA from 1 species